CGACCCGGCCAUAGCGGUUGGGCAACACCCGGUCUCAUAUCGAACCCGGAAGUUAAGCCAACCGCGUCAAGGUGGCCGUGAGGUCCGAGAGGCCUCGCAGCCACCUUGAGCCGGGAUCGG
rnacentral:rRNA from 2 species